GAAGUGGAAAGGGAGUGGGUGGUGGGGGGGUGUGUGGCUUUAGGGUCUCUGGCUUAGGAAGCUGAGUCUCCGUAGUGCCAUUCAUACAGAUGGAAUGAGGGAAGAAGCAGUUUCAUGGGAAAGUAGUAAAUUUGAUUGAGUAACAAGAGCUUGGGGGAUCCAGAAGAGAGCUAGGUUUGCAGUUCAGGAGUCCAGGAGAGAGUCAGACUGAAAACAUAAGCCCAUGGAUAGUCAGUCAUUGAAGCCAUGGGAAUGAAGAUCACCUAUGGGAAACACAGAUAGAAGCGAAUGUUACCACAAUGAAGUGUGGUCUAUACAAUUAAUUGCUGCAAAGAGGUCAGAAUAGAGUGAUCUGUGAUAUCUUCCCACUAAUCCCAAGUCAGGAGAGAGAGAGAAUGAAGAUCCAUUGCUGUAGAGGAACAAACUGAACGUGUUGAAGGUCCCGCAAGGCCAAUGUGGCUGGAAUGCAGACACAAAGCCAGGAGGAACAAGAGAUGGGGCUGACAAGAGAGGCAGGAGUCAGAUCUCAUGGGAACUGUCACCUGCAGUGUUGCAGACCUCUUUGAAUACACCAUGAGCACUGUGGAUUCUCGCCUCUGGAGAAUAAAAAUCACAUACAGAAAAGUUCAGACAACUUUAAGGAGUUUGAAGAAUCCCUGCUAGUCGUGGACCCAUCUGGGGUUGGUGGAUUCCUCACCAUGACUCUUUGGAUUCAGAAGUCAUAUAAGAUGCAGUUUAACAAAUAUUGGAAGUCAAAUGAGCAUUCUGCGGAAAAACAGCUUCUUCCAUACAUCAUCUUCUGGAAUAUCCCAGAUCUGGAAGAGGUCACAGGAAUGUCCAUUCAUAGGGAGCUCUACCUGGAGCUCAGAGAUGAUUGAGAGAGGGUAUUCAUCAUGGAUGUGUCCAAGUGAAGGUAGUUUGGAAAGAAACAAAGUUACCCUUUUUUCUCACUAAACAUCUUAGGGUCCCCAUUAGCAGGAAGGAAGGAAGAGGACAGGUGAGCUCCCUGGUAUUGAUGUAUUUACAGAGAACCUAGGCAUCAGCCAUACAUACAGAGGACACUCAUUUGGCCAGAAUUUGGGCUUUGACUUUAAUUAAAUUCCCUUGCUCCCAAUAAGACCUCUCUUAAUCUGAAAACAAUUUGUCAUAAGUGAUGUACCUGCCAAGACCUCAUGGCAAAGAGGCAGGGGGUACCUAGUAAAUGUUGCUGACAAACUCCAGCAUGACUCUAAAGGGACAGUGGCUUCCUUUGGAUGGUCAUGUGCUGCUGCUGGACAUAGCAAUCAGAAGGACAGUGGUGAACACCCAGGAGUGAACCAAGAUGCAAAGUUCAAGUCCGAGGGAAGAAGGGUGCAGUGCGGAAGAAGGGAAGGCAGAUGCUGCAGCCCUGCCUACAAGCAAGGAGGGAGCCAUUAAGAGCCCCAAGCUGGCCAGGCGCAGUGGCUUGCGCCUGUAUUCCUAAUCCCGGCACUUUGGGAAGCCAAGGUGGACGGAUCACCUGAGGUCAGGAGUUUGAGACCAGCUUGACCAACAUGGAGAAACUCUGUCUCUACUAAAAAUACAAAAUUAGCCAGGAGGCUGAGGCAGAAGAAUUGCUAGAAUCCGGGAGGUAGAGGUUGCAGUGAGCCGAGAUCGUGCCAUUGCACUCUAGCCUGGGCAACAAGAGCGAAACUCCAUCUCAAAAAAACAAAAAAGCCCCAAGCCUACUUUAUCAGACAGAGGAAUCAAGUUGUAUUUCCUUCUCACCAAGAGACGCUGGAAAGCUGUAAUCUUACACCAGUGGAGAAAGUGAGAGGAAAAUAAACCCUUUCUAAGGAUGAAUCCUGAAAGCCUUUCACAGACAAUGCUGCUUCUAUAAGAAUGACCUGUGAUGGCUAAGCCAUCACAGUCUUCAUUCCAAUUGACAUUCUAGGUAAACCUGCGCACAACUUUUUCUGUGUAUUUUCCAAAAAAGGAUCAUUUUAUAAAGGCUCAAGUUAUUUACAAA
rnacentral:lncRNA from 1 species